UCUACGAUGGCCAAAACUCUAAAAACUAAAGUCAUUGGAAAUUGGAAUCAUAAUCUUAUUAUAGAUGGAAGACUCGAAAUCAUCUGAAGGGAAAAAAGAGCCUUCAAAGUUCCACUUCGUCUAAACAAAAAGUAGAUCUAAACAUCUAAUUGAUUAAUCCAUUGGGAAAUCUAGUUUUUCUAGAUUUAUUUUACUGGCAACUACAGCAGUGAGAUUCUCAGAAGUAGCAAAGAGUUUUUUUUAUUUUUGAUUGGUAAUUGAAUCAAUGGUGCUCAAGAAGAUCAGAAAGGGAAUGGAUCUGGUGGUUGAUGUUUGAAAGAUCGAUUAUUGUGACGGUGCUAUUUCGGCAGGAGUUUUGGUUUAUUGAUGCCAUGAUUUAAAGAAGAUGCAAAUGCUGCUGAAGUUGUGUUUGUAGCCGGAAAUUAUAGAAACAACCGUUGCUGCUGUUGGUUUUGUGAUUCAUGGCCGUAAUAGAUUAGGGUUCUGUGGUUGUAUGAUUCAGGUAUUGAAUCAGCUGAAUGGAGGUGCUAAAAUGGUUCGAGAAGAGGAUGGAUUUGUAGCUAUGAAUGAUUGCAACAGUAACUGAAACAUUGAUCAAAGAUUAAGUAAAUAAAAAA